UUGACCUCGUCUUUGGCUGCCUCGUUUUCAAUCUGGAGGCGUGUCAGCUCCUCCUGGAUCUUCUCGUAGUCCCUUCUCGUGGACGCCAGAAGCUGGGGAGAGGAGAAGGCCAGGAACCUGGCACCCUCCUGCCGUUCUGGGAUGAGUUGGGAGAGCAGACACCAUAUCCGUCCCAGCUUUCUUCUCCACGUGGCUACCCUGCCUCAGGACUCAGGACCUUAAAGCUAACACCUUGGGGAAGAGUGUUACAGGUGUAGCCAACAGUGAUAGAGGACCAGCACGCCUUCUUCACUUGGAGGCAGACACCGAUGUGGUUAUCUUAGAAACAUCUACGGCAGAAUGAGGAGACACUCCUUUCGGCUCUCAAGUGUCAUCACCUUCCCAGCAGCCCUCAGGCCCUCCAUCUUGAAUGUCCAGUCUGCACAUGAAGAGGUGCACACUUAGGUUCUAAGAGGACUAAGCAUCUCUCCUUCAACAGUUGAGCUGAGCACUCCCGUCUAACACUCUGGAAGGUGUCCCCAUCACACGCACUUGACCAAGCCCUUGAUGUGUCAGAGAACAACACCUACAGCCAGGCCAGUGGCUCGGCGAGCCCCGCCCUCGCCUGUCUCCUCACUCAUCUCUUCUGCUUAUAUUCACUGGCCGCAGCUCUAAGUGACGUGCACACUCAGAGUCUCUUCUAAUGACUCUGGCCUCCUUAAGGAGUCAGAAGAUGCUUGCUCUCGGUACCUCUCGCUUUGGCACCUUCCUUUGCUCUCCAGGGGUUCCAGAGAGUACUCAUAUUUGAAAAGGGAGGCUCUAGACAUCCUCACAGCUUCAGUGCAUAGGAAAAGUCUGCACUACAUGCUCUACACAGGAAAUGUUGGGUGGGGGUAGAGAGAAAGGGCAGAGGACUGUGGUCUCUGUGGAGGGUAGUCCAGUAUCCCAGUUCCAUCUACCAGGGUUUACUGAGGAAAUCAGUAAUUGGAAAUCUGUGGCUGGGGCACAGAGAGAGACAGAGAAGGAUAUCUAGCAUAUCUCCUUAGUUUUCUAAGGUAACUGGCUCAUGCAUCUGUGGGUGCCACAAAGCUAAGUCACGUCUAAGCAGCGGGCUUGAAAUGCAGGUGCAAGUGUGUAUUCUGGUCUUCAGUUCUCCCCAAGUAACAUCAGCUUGGCUCUUCAAGGCCUCUGAAUGAUCAGGAGGGCCAUGCUCAUGACCCGGGGUCAUCUACUUGACUCAGUCAGCUGAGUGCAAACAUUGGCCCCCUAAAAACACCAUCAGAGCAAUAGCUGGAUCUAUGUUUGAUGAAAGAGCUUAGCCAUUUGGGUGUGAAAUUUACACCACAACUUCUGAUCUGCCCGAGUCCUGCUGCUGGGUAAACAGCUACACAUUCCUCGGAACUCAUUUCUGCUCCAAAGCACUCUCCAGGCCUGGAAAGGGUUCUGCCUCUUAGGAAAAGGUUAGCCUCGAAGGAGAAAUUAAAGCUCUUGUGACCAGUGAAGAACUGGCCUCUAAUUACACUAUACACCAAACGUUCUCUUCCCCCAAGGGCUAAGGCUACCCCACUGAGGUCCCAGAAACUGCUUCUCCACAGAGGAACAACUUUGUAAUGGAUUUCAAAUUCCAAAUACUGGAGUUAAAAGUGGUUAUCAAUGCUGAGAUAUACGUGUGUGAAAUCCUACGGAGCUAAAGGAGAGGCUUCGAGUCCACAAAGCACAACAGUGGCUGCACCAACGAGCUGGGUGUUUCGCUUCGCUCUGUUUUGCAUCACUAUUCUUCUGACAGGAGCAUCCCUGACCACCACUGAAAACACAAUCCUAGUUACCUUGCUAAAUAACACCUCAAGUUUACAGGUCAUCUGAUAGAUGCAAUGUAAUAAUUAUCGGCCAUUUUGGCCACUGCCCCCAAGCCAUUCACACCCACACUCUAUUUCCUAGCUCAGAGCAUGGGUUCUGAGAACCCCACACGCACCUCUGUCCAAACAUCAGCGUGGACUUGGUCUCGGCCUCAUUGAAGACUGAAGGAGAACAGCAGAUGACAAUGGUGGUCCUACAGUUCCCACCCAGGGAGUCCUGGAGAAUCCGAGUCAUCUUGCUGUCCCGGUAUGGCACAUGCGUUUUCUAUUUAAGAAGAGAAGGAGCAUUGGCUUUGACAGCCCAUUCAAAGAAAAACUACAGAAGCAAGCUGGCCAAACUUAGAAACAUGUGGGAUGAGGAUCUGCAGCCAGGACUUUGGACCUUGCCAAAGACUGUCCAUGCUGUGACCCAUGUCAUAGGAAGUUAGCGUCACCAUUCAUACUUCCUAGUGGAGUGGAGCUCCCAGCAACAGACACUCCAGCCAGAAAUACCUCUUCCGAAGAGGAAAAUAAAUGAGCGUCUGGGAAUGUGUGACAAUCCAUCCCAAUAAGAAUACACAAAUCCCAAAGGCUGCUUCCCAUAAUACUGUGUAAUAGAUGGUGACAGGAUUACUUACUGUCCCUUCUGCCAAGGCAGAGAUCACAUUUCCGAGAGCAGACAAAGACUUGUUGAUAUUUUUAGCUUCAUCAAGAACAGCUCCCUCGGCACCCGUUUUGCUGACCUACCAAGGGACAGAAAAGGCAGUGAGGACCGUGUGAGCGCAGAGCAGAAAAUCUGCGCGCACAGAGGGGCAGCAGGCCGGCCCUGCAGGAGAGCAGGGAGUGAAGGUGAGGAAGAACCACCCCACGCAGCCGUCCCCGGAGCCGGAAGCUGGCGCUCUGAGCUCUCCCACUGUCAUUUUCCUCUCAAUUGGGUUUUAGUGAAAUGGCUGAAAUGCGUAAGCGGGAGAACUGUAGAUACUUCCCUGGGGGACAUCCAUCCAGGAAAAGCAGGCUCCUGGAGUGCUGUCACCACAGUGAGCGGGUCCUGGGGGACUAAACACAGCCUCCCAGUUACAUGGGGUCUGGUGCGGCACGGUGAGGAAAAUAUGUAUGAGCCCAAAUUUCAGGCAAAAGACUGAGGAGUGGGAAUGGGUGUCUGACUUGGUUCCUUCUCUACUUUUUUUCUGUAACAUGGAGGGAGACAGUGGGGAGCAAAGAGAGGGAAGAAAGAGAGUCUAAAAUGCAAAGGCUUGGGGAGACACGAAGAGACAAGGACAUAUGUGCUAUACUAUAAAUGUAUAAAUUUGAUUUUUCUUCUAUGGCCCACUAUACACGGUGCCUCCUCUACUGCAGUAGUACAGAUAAUUUCACAUUUUCAGCAUUUAAUCUAGAUAGAGAGGUUUACAAAUGCCGCCAAUUUUUUUAAAGGAAAGGAAAGGGUUUAGUAAGAUUUAUUCUGGCUGUCUGAAUAAAAGCAGGGUGAACAGCUGCUCUCUAAGAAAGAGAAAAAAUAGAAGGAGGGAAAAAUAACUUUAAACUGAACAAUGGAUGGAUUCAAAUAUAUAUAAAGGAGAUCCCUGCACCUCCCAACAACAGAGGGGAGUGUUGUCCAGGAGCGAGGUUCUGAAAAGUCCAGGCUUCUGCCCCAAAACUAUGGAGGGCAGCCUGCUUGCAGACAGAACAUCAUGGGGUAAUGGGCCACAAAAAUCAGCAGCCUAUUACAGGCAUUUUCAGAUGCAUUCUAAUUUGAGCAUCUUAACUCUAUGAAAUAUUCAAAGCAGGCACCAUCCACCACCUUCUUUGGCAGACAAGGACAGUGAACCCCAGAGAUACCACUCUGGCACCCUAAGAGAAGGAUGACCCUUUGGGGUGAUGGGAUCGGAAGCCCAGAGCUCUGUUCUCAAGACAGUACAUUCAUACGGACUCAUCCUGGGAAAAGGAAAAAAAAAUAUGAAGAAAAAACCAAGCAGGGACGCUUGAAACCCCUCAUAAGUACCCUUAACAAGUAGCAGCAACGGCCAGUGGGAGGCAGUUGUCAGGUGUACUUCAGCCCUAAAUAACUCAUCGUUACAUGGCUCUCUGUAGCCUGCACCCAGCAUGGCGGUCCAGUCAGUGGCCAGUAUAGAGCCAUGGACAGUGUGCUCCCUUCAUCCUGAUGCAUGGCUGAGAAUUGUGGCCAGCCCACAGACAGAACACUUGAGAUGCACGCAGACAAGUAAGAGGACAAUUCAAAAACCAUGACUUACAGGGACGUUUGUAGCCAUAAUUAGGGUUCAGGAACUUAGCAGUGUGAGGCAGUAAGUGGCAACCACCUGUACAGCUAGGGAGACUGACAGAGCUUCAGGGCCUGCCCUGAUGAGGACAACCAGCUGAUGUCACUGAUGAUGGCAGAAAUAGGAAUUGUGCGUGUGUGCUGGCUCUAUGAUGCUGGCUACAGGGGUUGUGCCCCACCAGAGUAUGGCUAAGGGAACAUCCCUGGGUGCUUAGGAAAGGGGGUGGUGUGGGAAGGGUAGUGAUUCUGGAUGUGGUCUUAGCCAGUGCCUGGGAGCACAGAACAGAGCACAGGUGUAGAAAGAGGAUCACAACAAACCAAAGAAGGCUUCCCAACCCAGAGGACCCAAGGCCACUCGUGAGCUCUGUUACUUCAAUUCCACUGCCACUGGAUAGGAACACUGGCAGAGACCAGGUCAAAGUGCAGAAGCAGGCCAACCAUGUAUGUCCCAGGGGCAGAGCCCUCCCCAGUCUACUACUUGUAAUCGAUACGACAGAUGGCUCCUUCCAUCCUAAGGAUGCCCAUCCCAACGUUGGGCAGCUGCCUUGCCAGGCUAUGUCAUAUUAACACUUGCUUAAAGCCACAGGCUACAAAGCAUAAAUAAAUCUGAGCCUCUGACAUGAACUGGGGACUCAGCCCACAGGACAAAAUGAGAAGGCAAAGAAACCUGAUGGUACCACUCCUCGACAUUUUAAACCUCUUUAAAAUCAGUAAGUAAAAGGCACAAAACUUAUGCCACUGUACACGUGAGCAAAUAACAGAGGGAAGUUAUAGAUAAUAUAAAAACCAAAAUUACCUUUUCACUCCCGGCCAAAUCAACCAAAUACAGCUUCCCGCUGAGUUUUUUUUCAGUCUCCACAUUCUCUUGCUUAAUGUUUAUCAGGAAGAUACUGUGACUCCGAGAGCUGUGUUCGUUCAUGUCUGAAAAGGAAAAUGGUUUACUGCUCCGCAGAGAGCAUGACAGCAAAGGGAGGAAAGCUCUAGUCUUUAAAACACAGCCAAUCAUGUCGCCACAGUACAGCUCUCUGCAGUCAGCGAAGCCAAUUUUGGGAUGUAUCUGAGGCCACUGUUUCUUUUAAAAGGAAACAAAGCAAAACAUAAAACAAGAAACAAAAAUCCCACUCAUUGUAGAGAGGACAGUUUUACAAUGCCUUCAAAUAACAAAGGAAUUAUCCUAACAUUCUUGGGUUCUAUAAGAGAGCAGGCUGAGCAAGCCAGGGGAAGCAAGCCAGUAAGUAACAUCCCUCCAUGGCCUCUGCAUCAGCUCCUGCUUCCCGACCUGCUUGAGUUCCAGUCAUGACUUCCUUUAGUGAUGAACUGCAACAUGGAAGUGUAAGCUCAA